CGUACACUCCUACGGGAGGCAGCAGUGGGGAAUUUUGGACAAUGGGCGAAAGCCUGAUCCAGCCAUGCCGCGUGCAGGAUGAAGGCCUUCGGGUUGUAAACUGCUUUUGUACGGAACGAAACGGCCUUUUCUAAUAAAGAGGGCUAAUGACGGUACCGUAAGAAUAAGCACCGGCUAACUACGUGCCAGCAGCCGCGGUAAUACGUAGGGUGCAAGCGUUAAUCGGAAUUACUGGGCGUAAAGCGUGCGCAGGCGGUUAUGUAAGACAGUUGUGAAAUCCCCGGGCUCAACCUGGGAACUGCAUCUGUGACUGCAUAGCUAGAGUACGGUAGAGGGGGAUGGAAUUCCGCGUGUAGCAGUGAAAUGCGUAGAUAUGCGGAGGAACACCGAUGGCGAAGGCAAUCCCCUGGACCUGUACUGACGCUCAUGCACGAAAGCGUGGGGAGCAAACAGGAUUAGAAACCCCAGUAGUCCC
rnacentral:rRNA from 1 species